rnacentral:rRNA from 1 species
AUUAGAUGAGCCUAUAUUAGAUUAGCUAGUUGGUGGAGUAAUAGCCUACCAAGGCAAUGAUCUAUAGCUGAUCUGAGAGGAUGAUCAGCCACACUGGAACUGAGAUACGGUCCAGACUCCUACGGGAGGCAGCAGUGGGGAAUAUUGGACAAUGGGCGAAAGCCUGAUCCAGCCAUGCCGCAUGAGUGAAGAAGGCCUUUGGGUUGUAAAGCUCUUUUAGUGAGGAAGAUAAUGACGGUACUCACAGAAGAAGUCCUGGCUAACUCCGUGCCAGCAGCCGCGGUAAUACGGAGAGGGCUAGCGUUAUUCGGAAUUAUUGGGCGUAAAGGGCGCGUAGGCUUAUUAAUAAGUUAAAAGUGAAAUCCUGAGGCUUAACCUUGGAAUUGCUUUUAAAACUAUUAAUCUAGAGAUUGAAAGAGGAUAGAGGAAUUCCUGAUGUAGAGGUAAAAUUCGUAAAUAUUAGGAGGAACACCAGUGGGGAAGGCGUCUAUCUGGUUCAAAUCUGACGCUGAGGCGCGAAGGCGUGGGGAGCAAACAGGAUUAGAUACCCUGGUAGUCCACGCUGUAAACGAUGAAUGUUAAAUAUGGGAAGUUUA